rnacentral:rRNA from 1 species
CAGUCGCCGCGGGAAUACAGAGGGUGCGAGCGUUAAUCGGAUUUACUGGGCGUAAAGCGUGCGUAGGCGGCUUUUUAAGUCGGAUGUGAAAUCCCUGAGCUUAACUUAGGAAUUGCAUUCGAUACUGGGAAGCUAGAGUAUGGGAGAGGAUGGUAGAAUUCCAGGUGUAGCGGUGAAAUGCGUAGAGAUCUGGAGGAAUACCGAUGGCGAAGGCAGCCAUCUGGCCUAAUACUGACGCUGAGGUACGAAAGCAUGGGGAGCAAACAGGAUUAGAUACCCGAUAGUCCCUGUCUCUUAUACA